rnacentral:rRNA from 1 species
UACGUAGGGGGCGAGCGUUGUUCGGAUUUACUGGGCGUAAAGAGCGCGUAGGUGGUUCGUUUAGUCGGAGGUGAAAGCCCUCGGCUCAACCGAGGUCCCGCGUCCGAGACUGGCGAACUUGAGGGCAGGAGAGGAGAGCGGAAUUCCCGGUGUAGCGGUGAAAUGCGUAGAUACCGGGAGGAACACCGGUGGCGAAGGCGGCUCUCUGGACUGCUCCUGACACUGAGGCGCGAAAGCUAGGGGAG